UACAGAGGUCUCAAGCGUUGUUCGGAUUCAUUGGGCGUAAAGGGUGCGUAGGCGGCGCGGUAAGUCGGGUGUGAAAACCCGCGGCUCAACCGUGUGGUCUGCAGUCGAUACGGGCAGGCUAGAGUUCGGUAGGGGAGACUGGAAUUCCUGGUGUAGCGGUGAAAUGCGCAGAUAUCAGGAGGAACACCGGUGGCGAAGGCGGGUCUCUGGGCCGAUACUGACGCUGAGGAGCGAAAGCGUGGGGAGCGAACAGG
rnacentral:rRNA from 1 species